rnacentral:misc_RNA from 1 species
UACGGAGGGUGCGAGCGUUGUCCGGAUUUAUUGGGUUUAAAGGGUGCGUAGGCGGCCCUGUAAGUCAGCGGUGAAAUCCCCCGGCUCAACCGGGGAACUGCCGUUGAUACUGCAGGGCUUGAGUACAGACGAGGUAGGCGGAAUUGACGGUGUAGCGGUGAAAUGCAUAGAUACCGUCAGGAACCCCGAUUGCGUAGGCAGCUUACUAGGCUGUUACUGACGCUGAGGCACGAAAGCGUGGGGAGCGAACAGG